AGCGUACACGGUGGAUGCCCUGGCAGUCAGAGGCGAUGAAGGACGUGCUAAUCUGCGAUAAGCGUCGGUAAGGUGAUAUGAACCGUUAUAACCGGCGAUUUCCGAAUGGGGAAACCCAGUGUGAUUCGUCACACUAUCAUUAACUAAAUCCAUAGGUUAAUGAGGCGAACCGGGGGAACUGAAACAUCUAAGUACCCCGAGGAAAAGAAAUCAACCGAGAUUCCCCCAGUAGCGGCGAGCGAACGGGGAGCAGCCCAGAGCCUGAAUCAGUGUGUGUGUUAGUGGAAGCGUCUGGAAAGGCGUGCGAUACAGGGUGACAGCCCCGUACACAAAAAUGCACAUAUUGUGAGCUCGAUGAGUAGGGCGGGACACGUGGUAUCCUGUCUGAAUAUGGGGGGACCAUCCUCCAAGGCUAAAUACUCCUGACUGACCGAUAGUGAACCAGUACCGUGAGGGAAAGGCGAAAAGAACCCCGGCGAGGGGAGUGAAAAAGAACCUGAAACCGUGUACGUACAAGCAGUGGGAGCACGCUUAGGCGUGUGACUGCGUACCUUUUGUAUAAUGGGUCAGCGACUUAUAUUCUGUAGCAAGGUUAACCGAAUAGGGGAGCCGAAGGGAAACCGAGUCUUAACUGGGCGUUAAGUUGCAGGGUAUAGACCCGAAACCCGGUGAUCUAGCCAUGGGCAGGUUGAAGGUUGGGUAACACUAACUGGAGGACCGAACCGACUAAUGUUGAAAAAUUAGCGGAUGACUUGUGGCUGGGGGUGAAAGGCCAAUCAAACCGGGAGAUAGCUGGUUCUCCCCGAAAGCUAUUUAGGUAGCGCCUCGUGAAUUCAUCUCCGGGGGUAGAGCACUGUUUCGGCAAGGGGGUCAUCCCGACUUACCAACCCGAUGCAAACUGCGAAUACCGGAGAAUGUUAUCACGGGAGACACACGGCGGGUGCUAACGUCCGUCGUGAAGAGGGAAACAACCCAGACCGCCAGCUAAGGUCCCAAAGUCAUGGUUAAGUGGGAAACGAUGUGGGAAGGCCCAGACAGCCAGGAUGUUGGCUUAGAAGCAGCCAUCAUUUAAAGAAAGCGUAAUAGCUCACUGGUCGAGUCGGCCUGCGCGGAAGAUGUAACGGGGCUAAACCAUGCACCGAAGCUGCGGCAGCGACGCUGAUGCGUUGUUGGGUAGGGGAGCGUUCUGUAAGCCUGUGAAGGUGUGCUGUGAGGUAUGCUGGAGGUAUCAGAAGUGCGAAUGCUGACAUAAGUAACGAUAAAGCGGGUGAAAAGCCCGCUCGCCGGAAGACCAAGGGUUCCUGUCCAACGUUAAUCGGGGCAGGGUGAGUCGACCCCUAAGGCGAGGCCGAAAGGCGUAGUCGAUGGGAAACAGGUUAAUAUUCCUGUACUUGGUGUUACUGCGAAGGGGGGACGGAGAAGGCUAUGUUGGCCGGGCGACGGUUGUCCCGGUUUAAGCGUGUAGGCUGGUUUUCCAGGCAAAUCCGGAAAACUAAGGCUGAGGCGUGAUGACGAGGCACUACGGUGCUGAAGCAACAAAUGCCCUGCUUCCAGGAAAAGCCUCUAAGCAUCAGGUAACAUCAAAUCGUACCCCAAACCGACACAGGUGGUCAGGUAGAGAAUACCAAGGCGCUUGAGAGAACUCGGGUGAAGGAACUAGGCAAAAUGGUGCCGUAACUUCGGGAGAAGGCACGCUGAUAUGUAGGUGAAGUCCCUCGCGGAUGGAGCUGAAAUCAGUCGAAGAUACCAGCUGGCUGCAACUGUUUAUUAAAAACACAGCACUGUGCAAACACGAAAGUGGACGUAUACGGUGUGACGCCUGCCCGGUGCCGGAAGGUUAAUUGAUGGGGUCAGCGCAAGCGAAGCUCUUGAUCGAAGCCCCGGUAAACGGCGGCCGUAACUAUAACGGUCCUAAGGUAGCGAAAUUCCUUGUCGGGUAAGUUCCGACCUGCACGAAUGGCGUAAUGAUGGCCAGGCUGUCUCCACCCGAGACUCAGUGAAAUUGAACUCGCUGUGAAGAUGCAGUGUACCCGCGGCAAGACGGAAAGACCCCGUGAACCUUUACUAUAGCUUGACACUGAACAUUGAGCCUUGAUGUGUAGGAUAGGUGGGAGGCUUUGAAGUGUGGACGCCAGUCUGCAUGGAGCCGACCUUGAAAUACCACCCUUUAAUGUUUGAUGUUCUAACGUUGACCCGUAAUCCGGGUUGCGGACAGUGUCUGGUGGGUAGUUUGACUGGGGCGGUCUCCUCCUAAAGAGUAACGGAGGAGCACGAAGGUUGGCUAAUCCUGGUCGGACAUCAGGAGGUUAGUGCAAUGGCAUAAGCCAGCUUGACUGCGAGCGUGACGGCGCGAGCAGGUGCGAAAGCAGGUCAUAGUGAUCCGGUGGUUCUGAAUGGAAGGGCCAUCGCUCAACGGAUAAAAGGUACUCCGGGGAUAACAGGCUGAUACCGCCCAAGAGUUCAUAUCGACGGCGGUGUUUGGCACCUCGAUGUCGGCUCAUCACAUCCUGGGGCUGAAGUAGGUCCCAAGGGUAUGGCUGUUCGCCAUUUAAAGUGGUACGCGAGCUGGGUUUAGAACGUCGUGAGACAGUUCGGUCCCUAUCUGCCGUGGGCGCUGGAGAACUGAGGGGGGCUGCUCCUAGUACGAGAGGACCGGAGUGGACGCAUCACUGGUGUUCGGGUUGUCAUGCCAAUGGCACUGCCCGGUAGCUAAAUGCGGAAGAGAUAAGUGCUGAAAGCAUCUAAGCACGAAACUUGCCCCGAGAUGAGUUCUCCCUGACUCCUUGA
rnacentral:rRNA from 1 species